rnacentral:lncRNA from 1 species
AUCUUUUAUAGAAAAAUAGUGUACUUAGAUAUUGUUACGUAAAUUCAAAUUAAUUGAAUCUCAAAAUGAAUAUCAGACACCGAAAAAGUGAGAGACAAAAAGAGAAGAAUGAAAGUGGAUCGUCUAGUUUUGACUGUUUGGAAUUUGGAAUGUCAACUAUUGCGUGUUAUUCCCCUUAGCUCCCCGCGUUUUUGGGACGCCCACUCUUUAUCUUGAACAUGCUAUUGAGUAUGAUUUUUUAUAUCUAUCAACAUGGGUUGUGGUGCAGUAGAUGAGGUUGCUUCACUCUAAAUCAGUUCUUAACCAGAGGUCGAGGGUUCGACUCUGGAUAUGGAGAAAACUCUGUUGGGAGCGAUGCCACCUUAAUGGGUCCUGCAACGCUUGAUCCGAAUUAAUCGGGGCUCCAAUACGAACACCGAAACAAACAAACAAAAAAAGAGUAUGACUUUUUAUAUGUGCUAUAUAUACA